rnacentral:rRNA from 1 species
AGGACUAACGCUGGCGGCGUGCCUAACACAUGCAAGUCGAACGAGGUAGCAAUACCUAGUGGCAGACGGGUGAGUAACACGUGGUCAACCUGCCUCCGUGUGGGGGAUAACUAGCCGAAAGGUUAGCUAAUACCGCAUACGAUCGCUUAAAGGCAUCUUUGAGCGAUGAAAGGAGUAAUCCGCACGGAGAGGGGACUGCGUCCCAUUAGUUAGUUGGUGGGGUAACGGCCUACCAAGACUCCGAUGGGUAGCUGGCUUGAGAGAGCGACCAGCCACACUGGAACUGAGACACGGUCCAGACUCCUACGGGAGGCAGCAGUGAGGAAUUUUCCGCAAUGGGCGCAAGCCUGACGGAGCGACGCCGCGUGUGGGAAGAAGGCCUUCGGGUCGUAAACCACUGUCGAAGGGGACGAUAUUGACGGUACCCUUGGAGGAAGCCCCGGCUAACUACGUGCCAGCAGCCGC